rnacentral:rRNA from 1 species
AGAUUGAACGCUGGCGGCAGGCCUAACACAUGCAAGUCGAGCGGUAGAGAGGUGCUUGCAUCUCUUGAGAGCGGCGGACGGGUGAGUAAUGCCUAGGAAUCUGCCUAGUGGUGGGGAUAACGUUCGGAAACGGACGCUAAUACCGCAUACGUCCUACGGGGAGAAAGCGGGGGACCUUCGGGCCUCGCGCCAUUAGAUGAGCCUAGGUCGGAUUAGCUAGUUGGUGAGGUAAUGGCUCACCAAGGCGACGAUCCGUAACUGGUCUGAGAGGAUGAUCAGCCACACUGGAACUGAGACACGGUCCAGACUCCUACGGGAGGCAGCAGUGGGGAAUAUUGGACAAGUGGGACGAAAGCCUGAUCCAGCCAUGCCGCGUGUGUGAAGAAGUCUUCGGAUUGAAAGCUACGUUAAGUGGAGAAGGUUGUAACC